CUCAAAAUUAAAAAUACGCAAGGAACAAGGAUCACAAAACGAACGCACCAUGAUUCUGAAUCUAUGUGCAGCCGACGCUCAUGAAACGAACGCACCAUGAUUAAAGCGAGCUGUCAUUUUUUUUCACUCGCGCGUGCUUGCAACAUGUUCUUUCGCUGUGUUCGAUUCGUUUUUCCGCGUGUGAUCGGGGAUUUUCCACAUCCGGCGACUUUGAAGACUUAAGGUAAGUAUUUGGAAAGUGGAGAAGUUGAAUGCGGCCGUGUACGGUUGUUGAGGCCGCUCGCACCUCCGUGGCAGAUUCCAUCGUUGUCGUCGGAUGAAGAGAAUUUGUGCGUGUGUGUGCGUGUGCGGAUCGGUUUGGAAAAAGUUGCCAGCCGCGUUCGAUGUAUUUCCUGUAUUUUCAAUGCACCAAGUGAUUUGUUGACAUUUUUCGGCAGCCUUCGCAAACUUCAAACCAUACAAAUUUGUUGCCGGAUCUUUUCCGGAAAAAGAUCCGCCAGCAACUGGUACUGGUUUGACUUUUGCGGAGGGUGCCAAAUAUUUUGGUCAUGUCACUGCUUGCAAAAAAAAACAAGACCGUUCGCACGUCCGGGAUUAUUCGUAGAUUCCUGCGUCGCCGUAUCCUUCUCCGAAGCAGCAUCAAUUUUUCAUUUUGAGAAAAAUACAUAAACAAACUUUUAGUGUUUUUUUUUCUCUCUAACAGGGACUUCUUUCACCGGGUGGAGCUGUUUGGACGGUCCGCUCCUGCUGCGGCAUUCCCGGCACCCAUCAUGGCCACUUUAGGGCUUGCAAAGUGUCGAACGGUUGGACAAACCUUCCGAGAGACAAAUCCGGCUAAGAGAUGUUCAAAAUUUUUAGCAACUUAGGAACCGGCACCGGCUGUGGGAAUUCCAGAUCGCUGUCGGCGUUCCGUUCCUGGUGUUUGUUAGGGAUGUGCAGACGCACUGGACUCAAUCUGCCGGCAGUGCAACGAGGGUUAGGCGAUACCAUAGCGCAACGACGUGCAACAAGUGAAAUCUCUCGCUGAAGAAGCACUUCGAACCGGCCGUACUUCUGGAGACAAAUAGCUCUACAAUUGAGGACAUCACCGAAUUGACCCGAUGUUCCAGACGACAGGAACGACAAACACAAACUGCUGGGCAGUUAGGAAUCAACGGAUGGAGUGCAAUGUCCCGAGGAUCCGAGGAGGAACGUGUACCGAUUACAUCGAUCGGUGUAAUCGAUGGCGAGAUUGAACCGGAAUCACCAAAGAAAACGACGCGGAAAGAAAGUGCAAAAUUAAGUGAAAUUAAAGAGUAACUUAAAAACUCAAUAAAUACUAUCAAAAGAAGUGUAUUUAGGAUUCCUUUCACUGUGUUUAUAUAGUUUUAGCAGCAUCAUUUAGUGAGGAAUAAAAAAUAAACAGUAUAAAAACCAUAAAACCUACUGUAGUUAUUAUUUAUUUCAUUGUACGAAUAUAGUUCAAACAGUACUAUUUAGUAUGGAAAAAACUAUGAAGAACUGUAAAUUGACUGUGCAAUCCAUUGUAAUGCUUGCUGUAUUUAUUAU